CCUACGGGAGGCAGCAGUGGGGAAUAUUGCACAAUGGGGGGAACCCUGAUGCAGCGACGUCGCGUGAGUGAAGAAGUAUUUCGGUAUGUAAAGCUCUGUCAGCAGGGAAGAAGAAAGAUGGUACCUGACCAAGAAGCCUCUGCUAACUACGUGCCAGCAGCCGCGGUAAUACGGAGGGGGCAAGCGUUAUCCGGAUUUACUGGGUGUAAAGGGAGCGUAGACGGGAGGGCAAGUCUGGAGUGAAAGGCAGGGGCCCAACCACUGGACUGCUCUGGAAACUGUCCGGCUGGAGUGCAGGAGAGGUAGGUGGAAUGCGUAGUGUAGCGGUGAAAUGCGUAGAUAUUAGGAAGAACACCGAUGGCGAAGGCGGCUUACUGGACUGUAACUGACGUUGAGGCACGAAAGCGUGGGGAGCAAACAGGAUUAGAUACCCCAGUAGUC
rnacentral:rRNA from 1 species